AGAGUUAGAGGGGCCGUCUGGGCGGGUGCUGGCGGGCAGCCGGCCUUCGUGGUUUCAUGAAGAAGGGCCGCAGUCAGGUGGGGCCGCUGGAGGGGAGAGUGCAAGGACGCUGUCCUAAAUACUGCCCCGCAGGCAAGACGGGGGCGAGACAGUGGCAGUACAGUUGGAACACGAACACACGUUGGACAACUACAGAAGAAUUAAAAAGCAAAUGUUGUCCAAAAUAGCCCAAGCCAGUUUGCUGGAGCGCCGGUAAUAGUCAAGAAAUGUCACUGCAUUUUCACUUAGUACUUGCUCAGUGCUACCCUAGGCGCAUCACGCGUCUACCUCAUUUGAUUCUCAAAACAACAGUGGAUUGGAGGUGGCAUAUAUUAGCCCUACUUUGUCAUGAAGGCAGUUGAGGCCCAUAGACAUUGCGUAAUUUGCCCAACGUCACACAAUGGCUACGAAUGUCCCAGGAUCUCGAGCCAGGCAUCUGCCUCCAGAGCCACCGAAAGUAACCGCCUAGGCAUGGAUAUGAUCAAGAAAAUUAACCAAAAGGAAAGGAAAGAUGAGGAAACUGAGGCAUUGAGAGGCUUCACAACUUAUCAAGAUCACAUGGCCAGUAUGUGAAGUAUUUGAAUCCUGGCUCCAGGCAUGCUAGCUCUAGAUAUCUGCAUGGCCUUCUCCUCCAGCCUUCAAGUCUUUGCUCAAUUAUCGCCUCCCCAGUGAGGCCUUAAUAGGUAACUUCACCAUAACCCUGGC